GGGGUUGUUUGGUUUUGACAGCGGGUAGAAGGGAUGUGUAAGCAUGCAGUGCGUGGUGUGAUUAGCACUUAAAUCUCAGUCCUCAAAAUUUAUCUGGCGAAUCUAAUAAUUACGCUCUUGCUGCCUGAUCGAAGUUCAGUAAAUCGGGCUUAAUCCUGGCACAAGGUGCUGGGACGAGACAUCACUCAGGAACUCUUGCUCCGAAGUAACCUGGUUCAGUGGUGCGGUCAUAUCGGGGAUAGUCUUCAUGGGCCUCGCCAUGCGGAUGAAGUUUUAGAGGAUAAGGCGUAGGUUGGCUGCCUUGGGUCUGCCUGCGCACGAAAAAUAAACUAAGGCUAAGCAUGUAGAAAGCGCAUUUGUUCCUCGUUUGGACGCGGGUUCGACUCCCGCCAGCUCCACUC
rnacentral:tmRNA from 1 species